AACGCGAAGAACCUUACCUGGGCUCGAAAUGCAGGAGACCGGGGUAGAAAUAUCCUUUCCCCGCAAGGGGCUGCUGUAUAGGUGCUGCAUGGCUGUCGUCAGCUCGUGUCGUGAGAUGUUGGGUUAAGUCCCGCAACGAGCGCAACCCUCAUCCCUAGUUGCCACCAGGUCAAGCUGGGCACUCUAGUGAAACCGCCCCGGAUAACGGGGAGGAAGGUGGGGAUGACGUCAAGUCCUCAUGGCCUUUAUGUCCAGGGCUACACACGUGCUACAAUGGUCGGUACAAACCGUCGCAAAACUGCAAAGUGGAGCUAAUCGGAAAAAGCCGGCCUCAGUUCGGAUUGGAGUCUGCAACUCGACUCCAUGAAGCUGGAAUCGCUAGUAAUCGCAGAUCAGAACGCUGCGGUGAAUACGUUCCCGGGUCUUGUACACACCG
rnacentral:rRNA from 1 species